UUCUUUUCACUCUAUGUGAAAAAAUACCCCAUUUGUGAGACC
rnacentral:rRNA from 1 species